UACAGAGGUCCCAAGCGUUGUUCGGAUUCAUUGGGCGUAAAGGGUGCGUAGGCGGCGCGGUAAGUCGGGUGUGAAAUCUCGGAGCUUAACUCCGAAACUGCAUUCGAUACUGCCGUGCUUGAGGACUGGAGAGGAGACUGGAAUUUACGGUGUAGCGGUGAAAUGCGUAGAUAUCGUAAGGAAGACCAGUGGCGAAGGCGGGUCUCUGGACAUUUCCUGACGCUGAGGCACGAAAGCCAGGGGAGCAAACGGG
rnacentral:rRNA from 1 species